CGUUCUUCCGUACUUGCUCCGGCAAAAUUGGAACGAUAGAGAGAAGAUUAAGCAUGACCCCCUGCGCAAGGAAUGGCACGCAGGUUCGUGAAGCGUUCCGUUUUUUU